rnacentral:misc_RNA from 1 species
AACGCACAUUGCGCCCAUUAGUAUUCUAGUGGGCAUGCCUGUUCGAGCGUCAUUAAGUCCAUUAAGCCUAGUUGCUUAGCGUUGGGAGCAUUACCGCAUGGUAACUCCUUAAAGUCAGUGGCAGGGUUACGGUACACUCUAAGCGUAGUAGAUUUCUUUUCUCGCUUUUGUAGUGGCCGCGGCUGUUGCCAUAAACCUAUAUUUUUUAUUGGUUGACCUCGGAUCAGGUAGGAAUACCCGCUGAACUUAA